rfam:Triticum aestivum genome assembly, contig: Triticum_aestivum_CS42_TGACv1_scaffold_158356_2DL
UUUGUACUCCCUCCGUCCGGAAAUACUUGUCGGAAAAAUGGAUGUAUCUAGACGUAUCCAGUUUUAGAUACAUCCAUUUUUAUCCAUUUCUCCGACAAGUAUUUAUAGACGGAGGGAGUAGUAC